rnacentral:rRNA from 1 species
GUACACGCAAAGAUAGCAAGUGGCAAGAAGAGCAAGAAAUUAAAACAAGGUCAAUACAAAAAGACAUUUGAUUGAUAGAAUACAAGACAGUAUAAAACUUUGUGAAUAAAAUUGAGUGCGGGAUAGUGGCGGACGGGUGAGUAACGCGUGAAUAAUCUGCCCCAUACGAGGGGGAUAGCCUACGGGAAACCGGGAUUAAAACCGCAUAACACUUUAUCACCGCAUGGUGAUGAAGUCAAAUCGAUUAAGAGGUAUGGGAUGAGUUCGCGUCUGAUUAGCUAGUUGGCGGGGUAAAGGCCCACCAAGGCGACGAUCAGUAGCCGGCCUGAGAGGGUGACCGGCCACACUGGAACUGAGACACGGUCCAGACUCCUACGGGAGGCAGCAGUGGGGAAUAUUGCACAAUGGGGGAAACCCUGAUGCAGCGACGCCGCGUGAGUGAAGAAGGUCUUCGGAUCGUAAAACUCUGUCCUUGGUGACGAAGGAAGUGACGGUAACCAAGGAGGAAGCCCCGGCUAACUACGUG